AAUUAAACAAAGGUGAUAACGGUGCAAUGAGUAAAUGUUGCCCUGCUGCGUUUUAUCAACUGAUGUUACAAAACGUCUCUCAUUCAGCAGUCCUGAAGAGAGAACUUCCAGUUAGCUAGAAUGCAAACUUAUUUUAUAGCCUAUUCUAGAUUUUAAGAGAGGUUGUGAGAUGUAAAUGGCUUUUCCCCUCUUUUUUAUGCUGGUCUAGAUGGAAACUCGUGGCAAGAAGAGAGGUGAAGGGAGCAGCAAGACUAAAAGACCAUCCAACCCUAACCUGUGUUCCUCUAUGACUGUGCCACCUCAGGAUGAUCAAUCUGUAGAUGAGGUUGGCAUGCAACCGAAGACCAAAAAGGCCACAGUUGGUUGUUCCCUGAAGGAAUCACGUAAGUCUUGUGCAUACUAUGGAAGUUUGUG
rnacentral:lncRNA from 1 species